UCCUACGGGAGGCAGCAGUCGGGAAUUUUGGGCAAUGGGGGAAACCCUGACCCAGCAACGCCGCGUGAAGGAUGAAGUAUUUCGGUAUGUAAACUUCGAAAGAAUAGGAAGAAUUAAUGACGGUACUAUUUAUAAGGUCCGGCUAACUACGUGCCAGCAGCCGCGGUAAUACGUAGGGACCAAGCGUUGUUCGGAUUUACUGGGCGUAAAGGGCGCGUAGGCGGCAUGACAAGUCACUUGUGAAAUCUCCGGGCUUAACUCGGAACGGCCAAGUGAUACUGUCGCGCUAGAGUGCGGAAGGGGCAAUCGGAAUUCUUGGUGUAGCGGUGAAAUGCGUAGAUAUCAAGAGGAACACCUGAGGUGAAGACGGGUUGCUGGGCCGACACUGACGCUGAGUGCGCGAAAGCCAGGGGAGCAAACGGGAUUAGAUACCCUUGUAGUC
rnacentral:rRNA from 1 species